CCUGGGAUCUUCUUCAUCGGGCGGGGGAGCCCUUGGCCCAACUGGGGCCCUCCGCUGCUUCUGGAGGGUCUGGGCUCUCACCAGUCUCUUGGCCCAAGAUUUGGGGUCCCGACGUGCCAUCAUCUUCGUCUCCUGGGGGUUUUAUGACCGCCUUUUUCAGGGGUGGACUGUUGGGCCACCUGAAACACACACAAACACACACAUGUCGAUGGUUAAGCACGUUGGAUAUUCACACACCCACAGGAAGCCACCUGCUAACUCCCUGCCUGUGUGGUCAUGAGGAGACCUCACCACCAGUCGGUCAAAUCUGUAGAACACAAUGUGCUGUGCGCAUCCUCGGAUAUUGUGUGUUCCUCUGCCAUGACUACCUAGUCCAAGAGUAAACCCCACCUGCCACAGGGCCCGUGGCCUAGGUAUGGGGGGGUUGAGCUUUCAACCCCAAACAAACAACUGAUUCUGGAGACUGGACUUAGGUCUCUCACGAUUCACUCCGGUAGAAGACACGGUGAUUCUAUCUCCCUUGACGGACAGAAUGAUCGAAGACACAGGGCAUGGCGUGUGCCACCCUUUGGCAGGUCUGCUUGAAGUCACGGAUAAGGGAUGCUUCCUGUGACAACUUGAAUCGCUACUCUUGCCAUUUCAUUAGGCAACUUCCAAGCACAAAUUCAUACAGAGAAGUUACCUUCCUCUCUACCGCACUAGCAGGCUGGCGCUGAGAUGGGCAGGUGCUGCAGCAGCCCGGCUGGAAGCGAUGCAGCAUCCAGGACGACGGAGGAAGGGGCAGAGAGGGACCUCCGCUUUCCAGGCUGCCUUUUAUACUGCCUCUGGUCACCUGACAUGGAACGUACCCUAACCUAAUCAGUUACCUGUACCUUAAUUGCAAUUAACUUAAUCCAAUUACAUGACCUGGAAAGGUCUAUCUGCACAGCCCACUCUAAGAUCAUGUCCACUGCUGACAGACAUUCUAAAACCUACUUGUACAGCUGCAAGCUUUGAACAAUAGAUGUUCCCCGUCAGACAUGUAACACUGGUGCCUGUACCCCUGUCUUCUUUUCCAUCUUUUUUGUUGUUUUGUUUUGUUUUGUUUUAAAAAAUGUGGUAAAAUAGACACCUUUUAAUUGGACCACAUUUUGUCUAUCUCGACGUAGGCCUCAGUGUCAUCAAGGAGACUCUCCUUGACAUGCAGUCACGGCCAUGAUCCAUCUUCAGAGCUUCUCUUUCUUCCCCAAGGCUGGCGCUGAGAUGGGCAGGUGCUGCAGCAGCCCGGCUGGAAGCGAUGCAGCAUCCAGGACGACGGAGGAAGGGGCAGAGAGGGACCUCCGCUUUCCAGGCUGCCUUUUAUACUGCCUCUGGUCACCUGACAUGGAACGUACCCUAACCUAAUCAGUUACCUGUACCUUAAUUGCAAUUAACUUAAUCCAAUUACAUGACCUGGAAAGGUCUAUCUGCACAGCCCACUCUAAGAUCAUGUCCACUGCUGACAGACAUUCUAAAACCUACUUGUACAGCUGCAAGCUUUGAACAAUAGAUGUUCCCCGUCAGACAUGUAACACUGGUGCCUGUACCCCUGUCUUCUUUUCCAUCUUUUUUGUUGUUUUGUUUUGUUUUGUUUUAAAAAAUGUGGUAAAAUAGACACCUUUUAAUUGGACCACAUUUUGUCUAUCUCG